UAUGGGUCAGAAUCAACAUGGAAGCAGAGAAAGACACAUGGCUCUGAAGUAACCUUAUUCUGCAUGUGAUCCAAGAGGUGCACAUGGCCUGAUAACUGAGGGAGUGGAAGAUAACUCUUGACUGGUGCAAAAUGGUUGCUUCCGGGCUGUCAACAAGUUCACUUGUUUUGUCUACGCGUUCAGAUCGGGGGCUUGACAGAAAUGAAGCUAAAAAUAGCUCUGCACACACAGCUCAGUAGCCAAAAGUCAGCUUUGGCUAGUGACUCUUCAGUGUUCAAAACAAAACUUCAUUUUAACCGGAUUUGAAAUAGUGAAAAUGAGAAUGAGGUGGGUGAGUCUUCGGCCUUCCAUCAAUCUCGCAGUUCUGUGAGGUAACUGAUCAUACCACUGCAGUGUUCAGUGAAGAGUGAACUGUGCUUUCCUAUUGGAAAAUGCUGCAGUCUUUUAGUGCCUGCGGGGAAUCCAAGAAUUUACAUCAGCUCAAGGUUGAACAUAAAGUGAAGCUGUUUCCACAGGGGAGACUUUAAGUUUACAAAUGAUAAUCAGGAAGAGCUAAUGCAAUAUUUCCAUGAUAUGGCUAAUGAAACAAGACAAAUUUGUAAAUGAAUCUGCUCUCCCACUGUGACAGUCAUUUCAGCCAACUCAUUAAGGAUUGACAGUUCAUUGUGCUCUCUUUACAAUUAAGUAGAGACUACUUGAGGUGGAAUGGCAGGGUGGAAAGCAGAUCCUGGCUCCUGCUGCUUCUCAGUUGGUGACAUCAAGUCCAGCCACUUUAUCCUUCAAGAGGGAGAGAAGUGAACAAGUGAACUGUGUUCAAGUGAUGUACCAGCUGUGUUUUAAUUGUAUUUCCACUGUUUCAAAAUGUCCUUGACUGUCAGAAACACUUAGAGGCGGUAACAAUUGUCAAAAAGCUGUGCAUAUUGUCUGGGUUCUGUGGCCAUGCCUUAGAUUCCACCACCUGAGUCCCAUUCACUUUUGCCAACUGCUUCAUUCUGCAGAUGGUUACAGCAGUGAGGUCACAAGGAUAUAGAGAGUAAAUGCAACCUCAGCCUUAGCACAGUGGACAUUCUUGAGGUGCAGGUUGUCUCAAGUAUGAUUUGAGUCCCUGUAAAAUUUUAAAAUCUCAUUCAGUAUUACAUCAGUGCCACCUAGCUUAUGUUCAGCAUUGAACUAGACCACAACAGAAAAUUGUAAGUGAGGUCAACAUUCAAUCCCUCACAACGUGAAUAUUCAUAUGGUGAAGGUUCCAAAAAUUCCAUGACUUUUCUCAGAGUAAAUAACAGAUCUGAAAGUGUAUAUAUAAGACUUUAACACAUCCCUAGAGCUUGGUUAUCACACAUGAAUCAUUCCAGUUUCAUUUCCAUAGUAAAUUAAUCUGAGUCUAGACAGAGUGUAUUUCAGCUUCAAAGACAUAAUUUUAGCUUUCUUAGCUGAAUUGCCAUGUGUAAUUUGUUUUUUAAGUGGAUGCUUUGUAUUAUAUUACUGAAACAAUAAUCUAAGCAUCUCACAGUUGAGUGAAUGACAGUACAAAUUUGGAAUGUGAAAUUUGCUUCAAAACAUUUUUUUUAAAGAAAAUAGAAGUUGGUAUGAAUAAAACUGACCAUGAGGUUGUGGUUGUAGACAAAGGUUGUGGAGGAGAAUAGGGAUGGCUCCAGGCUUGCGAAACCAAAGUGGACAUGCAAUCUAAAGGGAUUGAGUAAAGGAACAGAAGCUGAUAAACCUUCCAAACUAUAAAGUGGACUGAGAUACAGUAAGUUCAACCUUCAAUAGCAGGUAAUGUGAACAUUUACAUGGUAAAAGUUCCAGAAGUUCAUCAACUUUACAUAUGGUGAAUAACAGAUCUGAAAAUGUAUAUAUCAGAAUUUUCUCUCAUGGCAACCGAACACAGAUCAUGCCAUACGUAAGUGUACCAAUAGUUAACAUAAUACAGAAUACAGUGUAGCUUCUGCAGAGAAAUUGCAGUGCAGGUAGACAAAUAAAGUGCAAGAGCCAUGAUUGGGAGCUCAAAAAUUCAUCUUUAGCUGUAAACUUUGUUCUUUGUGAUUUAUUUAGCAGAGACUGACCAACACAAUUGGAUGUUCACAUCUGUUACAGACACAUAGCUUCGGAACAGCAAUAUAACUUCACGUUUCAAAUAACAACUAAUAGUGAAGAUUAGAGUUUUACUUCCCACCAAUGAAACGCUUUAUAUGAUUGGUGAACUUGUACCAUUGAAGGUUUAAUGCAGCUAGAUCACUAGCUAAAGGCAACUCAAGGGGAGCUCUCUGAAAUAGGAAAGUGAACAUUUUAUUUACAAAGUAGUGUCUAACAAUUUCCUGGAGC